AUUGAACGCUGGCGGCAGGCCUAACACAUGCAAGUCGAGCGGAACGGCGGACGGGGGGGUACGGCCUAGGGAGCUACCUGGUGGUGGGGUAUAACGUACGGAAACGGGCGAUAAGAACACAUAAUAGCAGGUGAGCCUAGGGCGGAGUAGCUAGUUGGUGGGGUAAAGGCCUACCAAGGCGCCGAUCCGUAACUGGACUGAGAGGUUGAUCAGUCACACUGGAACUGAGACACGGCCCCGACUCCUACGGGAGGCAGCAGUGGGGAAUAUUGGACAAUGGGCGAAAGCCUGAUCGAGCCAUGCCGCGUGUGUGAAGAAGGUUUUCGGAUUGUAAAGCUCUGUAAGUUGGGAGGCGUUACCUAACGAAUAAGCAACGGCUAACUUCGUGCCAGCAGCCGCGGUAAUAC
rnacentral:rRNA from 1 species